rnacentral:rRNA from 1 species
CCUACGGGGGGCAGCAGUGGGGAAUCUUGCGCAAUGGGCGAAAGCCUGACGCAGCCAUGCCGCGUGGAUGAUGAAGGUCUUAGGAUUGUAAAAUCCUUUCACCGGUGAAGAUAAUGACUGUAGCCGGAGAAGAAGCCCCGGCUAACUUCGUGCCAGCAGCCGCGGUAAUACGAAGGGGGCUAGCGUUGCUCGGAUUUACUGGGCGUAAAGGGCGCGUAGGCGGACACUUAAGUCAGGGGUGAAAUCCCGGGGCUCAACCCCGGAACUGCUUUCGAAACUGCCAAGCUAGAGUACGGAAGGGGCAACUGGAAUUCCCAGUGUAGCGGUGAAAUGCGUAGAUAUUGGGAAGAACACCGGAGGCGAAGGCGGGUUGCUGGGCCGAUACUGACGCUGAGGCGCGAAAGCCAGGGGAGCAAACGGGAUUAGAUACCCGAGUAGUC